GGCUCAGAACGAACGCUGGCGGCGUGCCUAACACAUGCAAGUCGAGCGAGAAAGUCCCCGCAAGGGGAUGAGUACAGCGGCGCACGGGUGCGUAACACGUGGGUAACCUGUCUGUGAGACUGGAACAACCAUCCGAAAGGAUAGCUAAUACCGGAUAAGACCACGGGAGCCUCGGCUCCUGAGGUAAAAAGACGGCCUCUGUAUACAAGCUGUCACUCACAGAGGGGCCCGCGGCCCAUCAGCUAGUUGGUGAGGUAACGGCUCACCAAGGCGACGACGGGUAGCUGGUCUGAGAGGACGAUCAGCCACACUGGAACUGAGACACGGUCCAGACUCCUACGGGAGGCAGCAGUGGGGAAUUUUGCGCAAUGGGCGAAAGCCUGACGCAGCAACGCCGCGUGAGUGAUGAAGGUCUUCGGAUCGUAAAGCUCUUUCGGCCGGGACGAAAACGGCGGGGCUAAAAUCUCCGUCUUUGACGGUACCGGAAGAAGAAGCACCGGCUAACUCUGUGCCAGCAGCCGCGGUAAUACAGAGGGUGCAAGCGUUGUUCGGAAUUAUUGGGCGCAAAGCGCGUGUAGGCGGUGGUGCAUGUCGGGUGUGAAAGCCCUCGGCUCAACCGAGGAAGGGCGCCCGAAACUGCAUCGCUGGAGUGCCGGAGAGGGUGGCGGAAUUCCCGGUGUAGAGGUGAAAUUCGUAGAUAUCGGGAGGAACACCAGUGGCGAAGGCGGCCACCUGGACGGACACUGACGCUGAGACGCGAAAGCGUGGGUAGCAAACAGGAUUAGAUACCCUGGUAGUCCACGCUGUAAACGAUGGGAACUAGGUGUGGCGGGUGUUGACCCCUGCCGUGCCGCAGCUAACGCAUUAAGUUCCCCGCCUG
rnacentral:rRNA from 1 species